rnacentral:rRNA from 1 species
CCUACGGGGGGCAGCAGUGGGGGAUAUUGCACAAUGGGGGAAACCCUGAUGCAGCGACGCCGCGUGAGUGAAGAAGUAUUUCGGUACGUAAAGCUCUAUCAGCAGGGAAGAAUAAUGACGGUACCUGACUAAGAAGCCCCGGCUAACUACGUGCCAGCAGCCGCGGUAAUACGUAGGGGGCAAGCGUUAUCCGGAUUUACUGGGUGUAAAGGGAGCGUAGACGGCUGUGCAAGUCUGAAGUGAAAUACCGGGGCCCAACCCCGGGGCUGCAUUGGGAACUGCCAGGCUGGAGUGCCGGAGAGGCA